GAUGAACGCUGACAGAAUGCUUAACACAUGCAAGUCGAUUCGAUUUACCUUCGGGUAUUGAGGAUGGCGGACGGGUGAGUAACGCGUAAGGAACUUGCCUCUUGGUCUGGGACAACUGUUGGAAACGACAGCUAAUACCGGAUAUUAUGAGAUUCUCGCAUGGGAAACUUAUGAAAGCUAUAUGCGCCAAGAGAGAGCCUUGCGUUCCAUUAGCUAGUUGGUGGGGUAACGGCCCACCAAGGCGACGAUGGAUAGCCGGCCUGAGAGGGUGAACGGCCACAAGGGGACUGAGACACGGCCCUUACUCCUACGGGAGGCAGCAGUGGGGAAUAUUGGACAAUGGGCCACAAGCCUGAUCCAGCAAUUCUGUGUGCACGAUGAAGGUCUUCGGAUUGUAAAGUGCUUUCAGUUGGGAAGAAGAAAGUGACGGUACCAACAGAAGAAGCGACGGCUAAAUACGUGCCAGCAGCCGCGGUAAUACGUAUGUCGCAAGCGUUAUCCGGAUUUAUUGGGCGUAAAGCGCGUCUAGGCGGAAAAAUAAGUCUGAUGUUAAAAUGCGGGGCUCAACUCCGUAUUGCGUUGGAAACUGUUUUUCUAGAGUACUGGAGAGGUGGGCGGAACUACAAGUGUAGAGGUGAAAUUCGUAGAUAUUUGUAGGAAUGCCGAUGGAGAAGUCAGCUCACUGGACAGAUACUGACGCUAAAGCGCGAAAGCNUGGGGAG
rnacentral:rRNA from 1 species